GAUGAACGCUGGCGGCGUGCCUAAUACAUGCAAGUCGAGCGAACGGACGAGAAGCUUGCUUCUCUGAUGUUAGCGGCGGACGGGUGAGUAACACGUGGAUAACCUACCUAUAAGACUGGGAUAACUUCGGGAAACCGGAACUAAUACCGGAUGAUAUUUUGAACCGCAUGGUUCAAAAGUGAAAGACGGUCUUGCUGUCACUUAUAGAUGGAUCCGCGCUGCAUUAGCUAGUUGGUAAGGUAACGGCUUACCAAGGCAACGAUGCAUAGCCGACCUGAGAGGGUGAUCGGCCACCCUGGAACUGAGACACGGUCCAGACUCCUACGGGAGGCAGCAGUAGGGAAUCUUCCGCAAUGGGCGAAAGCCUGACGGAGCAACGCCGCGUGAGUGAUGAAGGUCUUCGGAUCGUAAAACUCUGUUAUUAGGGAAGAACAUAUGUGUAAGUAACUGUGCACAUCUUGACGGUACCUAAUCAGAAAGCCACGGCUAACUACGUG
rnacentral:rRNA from 1 species